ACAGGGGACCGGACGGUCGCCGGCGGAGGGCCCACGCGUGGGCUCCCCCGCGGGAGGAAAGUCGGGACUCCACCGGACAGGGUGCCGGCUAACGGCCGGGCGGCGCGAGCCGACGGAAAGUGCCACAGAAACAUACCGCCACCCCGCGCCGGCUCCUGCCGGGGCGGGAGGGUAAGGGUGAAAUGGUGCGGUCAGAGCGCACCGGCGUUCCCGGAGACGGGGCGGCCGGGCAAACCCCACCCGGAGCAAGGCCGCAUAGGGGGGCGAUGGGAGGUCCGGUCCCGCCCCCGGGUAGGCCGCUGGAGGCGGCGGGCAACCGCCGUCCUAGAUGGAUGGCCGUCCCCGCCCUUCGCGGGCGGGACAGAAUCCCGCUUACAGGUCCCCUGUCCCG
rnacentral:RNase_P_RNA from 1 species